rnacentral:rRNA from 1 species
GUGUCAGCCGCCGCGGUAAUACGUAGGGGGCAAGCGUUGUCCGGAAUUAUUGGGCGUAAAGCGCGCGCAGGCGGCCUUGUAAGUCUGGUGUUUAACCCAUGGGCUCAACCCAUGGUCGCACCGGAAACUGCAAAGCUUGAGUGCAGAAGAGGAAAGUGGAAUUCCACGUGUAGCGGUGAAAUGCGUAGAGAUGUGGAGGAACACCAGUGGCGAAGGCGACUUUCUGGGCUGUAACUGACGCUGAGGCGCGAAAGCGUGGGGAGCAAACAGGAUUAGAUACCCUGGUAGUCC